CUAUCAGGUAGUAGUGGGUGUAGCGUACCUACUAGCCUACGACGGGUACGGGUUGUGAGAGCAAGAGCCCGGAGAUGGAUUCUGAGACACGAAUCCAGGCCCUACGGGGUGCAGCAGGCGCGAAAACUUUACAAUGCUGGCAACAGCGAUAAGGGAACCUCGAGUGCCAGGUUACAAAUCUGGCUGUCGUGAUGCCUAAAAAGCAUUGCAUAGCAAGGGCCGGGCAAGACCGGUGCCAGCCGCCGCGGUAACACCGGCGGCUCGAGUGGUAACCGUUAUUAUUGGGUCUAAAGGGUCUGUAGCCGGCCGGAUAAGUCUCUUGGGAAAUCUGGCAGCUCAACUGUCAGGCUUUCGGGAGAUACUGUCUGGCUCGAGGCCGGGAGAGGUGAGAGGUACUUCAGGGGUAGGGGUGAAAUCUUGUAAUCCUUGAAGGACCACCAGUGGCGAAGGCGUCUCACCAGAACGGACCUGACGGCAAGGGACGAAAGCUAGGGGCACGAACCGGAUUAGAUACCCGGGUAGUCCUAGCCGUAAACGAUACUCGCUAGGUGUCGGCCACGGUGCGACCGUUGUCGGUGCCGUAGGGAAGCCGUGAAGCGAGC
rnacentral:rRNA from 1 species